GUCCACGCCGUAAACGAUGGAUGCUAGCCGUCAGGUAGCUUGCUACUUGGUGGCGCAGCUAACGCUUUAAGCAUCCCGCCUGGGGAGUACGGCCGCAAGGUUAAAACUCAAAGGAAUUGACGGGGGCCCCGCACAAGCGGUGGAGCAUGUGGUUUAAUUCGACGCAACGCGAAGAACCUUACCAGCCCUUGACAUGUACUGGAAUGCCCGGAGAGAUUUGGGCAGCCGCAAGGCCAGUACACAGGUGUUGCAUGGCUGUCGU
rnacentral:rRNA from 1 species